rnacentral:rRNA from 1 species
UACGUAGGGUGCGAGCGUUUAAUCGGAACUACUGGGCGUAAAGCGUGCGCAGGCGGUUAUGUAAGACAGUUGUGAAAUCCCCGGGCUCAACCUGGGAAUUGCAUCUGUGACUGCAUAGCUAGAGUACGGUAGAGGGGGAUGGAAUUCCGCGUGUAGCAGUGAAAUGCGUAGAUAUGCGGAGGAACACCGAUGGCGAAGGCAAUCCCCCUGGACCUGUACUGACGCUCAUGCACGAAAAGCGUGGGGGAGCAAACAGG